AGAAUCAUCUGAAGGGAGUGCAGACCUCCCCCUCAGUGAAGAGGCAGACCUUGAUCAGUGUCCAGAAGGAAAAUACUUCUCCCGCCAGCUUUGUUUAGAGUGUCCCUCUGGUCAUUUUUGCCCUGGAAAUGUAUCUGCGCCUCACAGAUGUCCAGUAGGAACAUUCAACCUCUAUACAGGGAAAAGCAGCAUCAGUGACUGCAAGCCUUGCUUUCCAGGUCUCAUCAGUUCAGAGGACAGAGUGGACUGUAGGCUGUGUCCUGCAGGCUUCUUAUGUGAUCCAGCCAAUGGGACGUUGUCUUUAUGCCCCCCGGGACAACAUUCACCUGAAGGGGUCCUGCAGUGUCUGACCUGCCCUGUAGAUUCUGUCUGCACCUCUGGCUUCCCU